rnacentral:tRNA from 1 species
GGUUGUGGCUCACUGGUAGAGCACUUGCCUAGAAAUGUGUGAGGCACUGGGUUCGAUCCUCAGCACCA